rnacentral:lncRNA from 1 species
GUGCACACUUGGAUUUGCAAGCUAAGACUUCAUACAUCACUAAAAACAGUAGAGUGUGUAACAUUAAUUUGAAGAAAUCUUUUUGGAAAAAAAAACAUACAACAGCUCAAAUUAGCCCAAGAGUUUCUGUUGCGUACUCGGUGAUGGAAACAUUUGCUUUUCUCUUUGCUUUUCAUCACCUCUAGGUUUUGAACAUCAGCCCUGUGGUGAGAGACAUCAUGAUGAAUGGAACCUUCCAAAUCAUCCGCCUUUAUUUCGCAGAGUUCACGAGCUACGACUGGAUUUCCUGGUUCACGCUGAAACUGAGUCCAGUCCUUUCCAGCUUGACUGCAGAGAUGCUCCAGACAGUAACAUCAUAUACCGACUGCAACGCAUACCACAUCAUCGUCGGGGCUCUGAGCAGCCACUUUGAGCAGAUGACAUCGCUGAGACAGCAGGAGCUCACCGCAGUCCUGUUGGGCUACCUAAAGCAGAGUCAGGCAUCAGGUAGGUCCAGCAUAGGCAGCGCUUGUUUGUCUUGUGGGCUAAAUAAAAUAGCAAUUCUUGGUGUCUGUGCAUCUUCGUCCGUCCUAACGAGUCUCUUUUGCACGUCCCUGUCGCAGGCUCAACCUGUGGGUCCGACACCAGCAGCCUCAGUGUUUGGCUUGAAGAGAGCUUUGGCAAAUUCUCUGUCUACGUGGACUACCAAGACCUGCGUGCACUCAACGAGGCAUUUGGAAGUGUAAGGGGCCCACCGUGCCACUUGGUUGUUCUGGUGACUGCUUUGAGCAAGCACGUUGUUUCUACAGACGUUGUUGUUGUUGUUUUCUCUUCUGCAGUUCCAGGCACUGGACCUUCUGAGUGCCUCUCAAGUUGCUCAGCUGACCCUAACAUCUGGAGCGCUGAACAACGCAGAUCUGAUCACCAUGGUCUUUGAGCGUCUUGACGGCAGCAAUGCUUUCCAGGAUGUGGACCAGUUCUUGACGGUUCUCACCCAGACCUCGCAGGUACGUUCCCAUCCAUGAGAUGGCAAGCGCGCAGCUGUUCCGCUUUGU